rnacentral:rRNA from 1 species
GACGAACGCUGGCGGCGUGCUUAACACAUGCAAGUCGAACGGAAAGGCCCUGCUUUUGUGGGGUGCUCGAGUGGCGAACGGGUGAGUAACACGUGAGUAACCUGCCCUUGACUUUGGGAUAACUUCAGGAAACUGGGGCUAAUACCGGAUAGGAGCUCCUGCUGCAUGGUGGGGGUUGGAAAGUUUCGGCGGUUGGGGAUGGACUCGCGGCUUAUCAGCUUGUUGGUGGGGUAGUGGCUUACCAAGGCUUUGACGGGUAGCCGGCCUGAGAGGGUGACCGGCCACAUUGGGACUGAGAUACGGCCCAGACUCCUACGGGAGGCAGCAGUGGGGAAUAUUGCACAAUGGGCGGAAGCCUGAUGCAGCAACGCCGCGUGCGGGAUGACGGCCUUCGGGUCGUAAACCGCUUUCGCCUGUGACGAAGCGUGAGUGACGGUAAUGGGUAAAGAAGCACCGGCUAACUACGUGCCAGCAGCCGCGGUGAUACGUAGGGUGCGAGCGUUGUCCGGAUUUAUUGGGCGUAAAGGGCUCGUAGGUGGUUGAUCGCGUCGGAAGUGUAAUCUUGGGGCUUAACCCUGAGCGUGCUUUCGAUACGGGUUGACUUGAGGAAGGUAGGGGAGAAUGGAAUUCCUGGUGGAGCGGUGGAAUGCGCAGAUAUCAGGAGGAACACCAGUGGCGAAGGCGGUUCUCUGGGCCUUUCCUGACGCUGAGGAGCGAAAGCGUGGGGAGCGAACAGGCUUAGAUACCCUGGUAGUCCACGCUGUAAACGGUGGGUACUAGGUGUGGGGUCCAUUCCACGGGUUCCGUGCCGUAGCUAACGCUUUAAGUACCCCGCCUGGGGAGUACGGCCGCAAGGCUCAAACUCAAAGGAAUUGACGGGGCCCCGCACAAGCGGCGGAGCAUGCGGAUUAAUUCGAUGCAACGCGUAGAACCUUACCUGGGUUUGACAUGGAUCGGGAGUGCUCAGAGAUGGGUGUGCCUCUUUUGGGGUCGGUUCACAGGUGGUGCAUGGCUGUCGUCAGCUCGUGUCGUGAGAUGUUGGGUUAAGUCCCGCAACGAGCGCAACCCUUGUUCACUGUUGCCAGCACGUUAUGGUGGGGACUCAGUGGAGACCGCCGGGGUCAACUCGGAGGAAGGUGGGGAUGACGUCAGGUCAUCAUGCCCCUUAUGUCCAGGGCUUCACGCAUGCUACAAUGGCUGGUACAGAGAGUGGCGAGCCUGUGAGGGUGAGCGAAUCUCGGAAAGCCGGUCUCAGUUCGGAUUGGGGUCUGCAACUCGACCUCAUGAAGUCGGAGUCGCUAGUAAUCGCAGAUCAGCAACGCUGCGGUGAAUAAGUUCCCGGG